UCUCCCUCCUCCUCCUCCUCGUAAAACCCUGAACAAGCCAAAGAGAAAAACCUCGCUCGGCACACAACACGACGACCUUCAGGGCGCGAGAGAACUCAUCGGCUCGUUUGAUUCGAUCGCGCCGGAGCCAUGCACGCCGCCGCGAGAGCUCGCAGGCUCUGUCGCAUUCUCAGGCCUCCGGUUCAUCUCGGCUCGGCCGGAUUCAUCCCCCCGAACGACUGCCAAGUCAUGGAAUGCGCUCAGAUUUGUGCGCAAUCAUGUCGAAAUCGCAGCUCCUCCUCCUUCUCCUCCGCUGCUGCUCGUUCCCUCGGUUUCGCAGGGCUGGUUCAUGGCAGCAGAUUGCCUGCAGCCCCUUAUUCAAUAAUUUUGCAUUUACCGUAUUCUUCCGAAGCAAAUGCUGAAAAGGAGGAACCCCCCACAGAGACCGUGAAGGAGAUGUAUGAUAAAAUUAUUGAAUCCGUUAAUACGAAAAGAACGAUGGCUCCAAACGCAUGGACGUGGUCAAUGAUUGAAAAUUGCAAGAACGGAGAGGAUAUUAAGCUUCUCUUUGGUGUCUUGCAGAACCUACGCAGAUUUAGACUGUCGAAUCUUCGAAUUCAUGAGAAUUUUAACUGCAACCUUUGUCGGGAAGUCACAAAAGCAUGCGUGCGUGUUAGGGCUCUUGACUUUGGUAAGAAGGCCUUGUGGAAGCAUAAUGUCUAUGGAUUGACCCCUACAAUUGGCUCUGCAAACCAUGUAUUGCAAUAUGCUAAAGAGCACAAAGAUGCUACCCUCAUGCAGGAAGUUAUGAAGCUUUUGAAGACAAAUAACUUGCCAUUGCAACCCAGCACAGCCGAUAUUGUUUUCAGCAUUUGUUAUAAUACAGACAAUUGGGGGUUGCUCACAAAGUAUUCGAAGAGAUUUGUCAAGGAUGGAGUGAAAUUGCAUAGAGCUGCAUUUGACAUCUGGAUGGAGUUCGCUGCAAAAGUAGGAGACGUUGAAUCUCUAUGGAAAAUUGAGAAGUUAAGAUCUGAGUCUAUGAAGCAGCACACCGUGGGCAGUGGGUUCUCAUGUGCAAAGGGAUUUCUACUUGAAGGCAAACCUGAGGAGGCUGCUACAGUCAUUCACGUCUUGAAUCAGAGUUUACCUGAUGCUAAGAGAUCCAGCAUUAAGGUUGAACUUCAAAAGCUUGUCAGCGAGUGGCCUUUCGAGGUUAUCAAACGGAAGAAGUCAGAAGAUGACCGCAAGGCAUUGGCUGCUGUUCUCAAAUCUGGUAUCCCGGCCAUGGUUAGUUCCUUAUUAAACACAGGCUUGGAGGUGAAAGUCAAUAUGGAAGAACUAACCACCGAAGGCGCCCUUUGUUAAAGUAUGACAGAAUUGGAGAUUGAAUGCACUAGCUGCAGAUCUGUCUCCUAUGUGUGGUUGCCAUGUUAGUUUCAGCCAAUUCCGCUGAGAAGCAAGACAAGUGCGGUAAUCAGGUCUCGAGCAACCAGCAUCUGAAGUUCUCUUGUGAAGGUCCCCGAACCAUUGAAAGAUCUGCUCCUUCUUGAUUUGAAUGUUAUCAUUCCUGUACUUUCAGAUAAUGAUUCUUUUCUUUCCCCGAAAAAUGCAAGUGUAUUGGAGAUAAUAGGUGCAUCAUCAACAAUUGAAUUCUGAGAACAAUCCUCAGAUGACUAGUUUCUGCAGAGAGGAUCUUUUGGCUCACGAAUUUUAGAUGGACCAAAUGGCAGUUCAGAGACAGACAAUAGAUAAGAGAGUGCAUUUAAUCUGGACUCGUUCGACGAUGGUAUACAGCGACCGCCAUGGCUUCUUGCUAUUAUUGGAUUGAAUUGUCCAGUCGUGGUGCCCAGGAUACAGAACCUACUUGCAUCGCUUGUUACAUCAUUAAAAAUGUCGAAAAACUUGAACUAUAUCAGGAAUGGCUUUGGUACCCACAUGCGUGCAUGCAUUUUGUGUAGAUAAGGUGGACACGAUGGACCAAACGCAAUCCUCCAGAAUUACAAUUUGUGCACUAAUUACGUGUAAGUUUCAACACGCUUCAUACACAAAUCGAUUCCACUUGUACUUGA